UGGGGAAUAUUGGACAAUGGGGGGAACCCUGAUCCAGCAAUGCCGCGUGUGUGAAGAAGGCCUUAGGGUUGUAAAGCACUUUAGGCUGGGAGGAAGAUAAGUAGUUUAAGAGAUAGCUUAUUUGACAGUACCGGCAGAAUAAGCACCGGCUAACUCUGUGCCAGCAGCCGCGGUAAUACAGAGGGUGCAAGCGUUAAUCGGAAUUACUGGGCGUAAAGGGCGCGUAGGCGGUUAGAUAAGUUACCUGUGAAAUCCCUGGGCUUAACCUAGGAACUGCAGGUAAGACUGUGUAGCUAGAGUACUGUAGAGGGUAGUGGAAUUUCCGGUGUAGCGGUGAAAUGCGUAGAGAUCGGAAGGAACACCAGUGGCGAAGGCGGCUACCUGGACAGAUACUGACGCU
rnacentral:rRNA from 1 species